AGAGUUUGAUCCUGGCUCAGAUUGAACGCUGGCGGCAGGCCUAACACAUGCAAGUCGAGCGGCAGCGGGAAAGUAGCUUGCUACUUUUGCCGGCGAGCGGCGGACGGGUGAGUAAUGCCUGGGAAAUUGCCCAGUCGAGGGGGAUAACAGUUGGAAACGACUGCUAAUACCGCAUACGCCCUACGGGGGAAAGCAGGGGACCUUCGGGCCUUGCGCGAUUGGAUAUGCCCAGGUGGGAUUAGCUUGUUGGUGAGGUAAUGGCUCACCAAGGCGACGAUCCCUAGCUGGUCUGAGAGGACGAUCAGCCACACUGGAACUGAGACACGGUCCAGACUCCUACGGGAGGCAGCAGUGGGGAAUAUUGCACAAUGGGGGAAACCCUGAUGCAGCCAUGCCGCGUGUGUGAAGAAGGCCUUCGGGUUGUAAAGCACUUUCAGCGAGGAGGAAAGGUUGAUGCCUAAUACGUAUCAACUGUGACGUUACUCGCAGAAGAAGCACCGGCUAACUCCGUGCCAGCAGCCGCGGUAAUACGGAGGGUGCAAGCGUUAAUCGGAAUUACUGGGCGUAAAGCGCACGCAGGCGGUUGGAUAAGUUAGAUGUGAAAGCCCCGGGCUCAACCUGGGAAUUGCAUUUAAAACUGUCCAGCUAGAGUCUUGUAGAGGGGGGUAGAAUUCCAGGUGUAGCGGUGAAAUGCGUAGAGAUCUGGAGGAAUACCGGCGGCGAAGGCGGCCCCCUGGACAAAGACUGACGCU
rnacentral:rRNA from 1 species